UACGGGGGGGGCAAGCGUUGUUCGGAAUUACUGGGCGUAAAGGGCUCGUAGGUGGCCAACUAAGUCAGACGUGAAAUCCCUCAGCUUAACUGGGGAACUGCGUCUGAUACUGGAUGGCUUGAGUUUGGGAGAGGGAUGCGGAAUUCCAGGUGUAGCGGUGAAAUGCGUAGAUAUCUGGAGGAACACCGGUGGCGAAGGCGGCAUCCUGGACCAACACUGACACUGAUGAGCGAAAGCGUGGGGAGCGAACAGG
rnacentral:rRNA from 1 species